rnacentral:lncRNA from 1 species
CAACUGCCUGUGACCACUUCAAGUUCCAGUAACAGCUGACCUGGCAACCUGCCGCUGGAUGUAAAAGUGGCCUGAUGUAACAGGAGUAACAAGGUACAUGUGCCUCUAGGUUUGAUGUCUGGAACACAAUAGAUGCCCAACAAAUGCAUGUGCUAUCUCGGAGAGAUUGAUCUCAGGAGCUGGACACUUGGAUUACAAGCAUAUUUCUCCUUGCACACUUUCAUGGGAGGAUCAAAAUGAAUGAGCUAAAAGUUAAAAGUUGUAGGAUUGAUGAUGUACAGGUCUUAACGUGAAGGUCCAUAAACUACAAAAAGUCAUCUGGGGAGAAUUAACGCAACACAACUGAGAAAAGUUAAAGAAACAACUAGUUCUCCAGCAGAAAGCAAGCCUUGGCAAGGCAUGUUGCAGUGGACAGGAUUGACAGCAAGUCUGCACUUCUACCCAAAGAACUACAGGAGCUUUGACAUCGACAGCGAGCUGCUUAAGUCGUAAUGAAGUCAAUGGCUGAGGAGCUGCGUGAUUCUCAAUGCCUGGCCAGAGAUAUCAGGUGGAAGGUUCCAUGGGCUCUACAGGAAGAGAAAGAAAAUCAUGAGUCUUGUUCAGCUGCCAAGCCUACAAACUCUAAUAGCAACUAUCUUGACAAAAAAAGAGAGGAAUUUCCCCGGAGAUAAGAGCAAACACUCUCUUUGAAAGUAAUCCCAGGUGAGCACAUCCUCUAUUGAACAGCUUACCUGCAAGAUACUCUAUCACAUUUCCAGUUUUCCCUUCCAAAUUUUGAUGUCAAGUGGGAUCAAGAAUCUAAUGAUGGAAUGGAAACAGGCAUCCUCGGGAAGUAGGAGGUUGGGGGAACCACCAGAAUGCACCAGAGACCUGGGAGGUGAGCCAGAAGAUAUUAGAUCCUCUGGACCUGGAAUUACAGACAACAGUGAGGUAUCCUGUGGGUGUCCAGAACUGGAAAUAGAUCUUCUAGAAGAUCCUACAGUGCCUACUACUGAGUAAAUUCUUGAGUCCUUCUGCAAAGUUUUGUCAACUUUGAAACUACUCUACAAAAUUUUGACUGGAAGUUCUUAACGAGGAAAAUAAGAAGAAAUACUGGGUUUAUUAUAUCCAAAUACUCUACCACAUGACGCUACAGUAGAGUCCCACAAUUCUUGGGUUACCCUUGACUAGGAGCAACUCUUGUCUCAGCUCAUUUUCUUGGCCUAAUAUCUGCCAGGAACCCUGCCACCACAGCAGUCACUGAAUGGAGGAGGCUACCAAAGAUCAUUCUUUUUUUUUUUUUUUUUCGUUUUAUCAAAGAAGAAAUAUUAUCAAUGGAUGUGGUCAGUGGUGAAGAGGUUGACAAAGUCUGUGGUACUCUACGAACAUCCUAAAUCAGCACCACAUCCCUCACAGAUGUCCUUUUGCACAGGUGACAAAAGCACUGAAACAGACUACCCAAAUGACUGCAUCUGAGCACUCUUCAAGCUACACUUCUCUGAGUCAUCUCAGUCCCAGGGCAGGUUGCUGCCCCUCCAGGGUUUCCGACACACUCAGGAUGUGGUUGCAACACUGUGUCUUGCACAAUAAGAAACCACAGAGUCCUCAGAUGUCAGUCUUCUGAGCUCCUUAUAGGCUGCGCUGGAGGAUUUGUCUACAGUCAGUGUGGCCGUGCCCUUGAACUUUUCAUUGUAGCCAUCACUAGGAUUAAUAAUUCCAAUCCACUCAAGGCUCUUUCCAUGACUCUGCUUCACCUAGUGCAUGUUGUAGUCAGUGACUGUGUAGCCAGAAGCCUUGCAGGAUUUCUUCACUGGUCCCAAGCCUCACCAGCUCAGCCCAAGACUGCUGCAACUGGACCUGGGAAUGGACUCCUAUAGCUGUUGCCACGAAGAUGAUACAGCUCCAUCCCAUGGUGAUGUCCUGUGUACUCAGUGACUGCAGAGAGGACAGUGAUCACAUGUUUUUGUGGAGGGUAGCUAUCCCUAUAUUUACCACCAUAGACUCACAUGAUUUGCAUAUUCAUGAGCAGGGUACAUAUUAGAUAAAGACCUACUCCUCCUGGAGAAGAAGUGACACCUGAGUCAGGAAUCAGGAUGCUGAGGCCCAAGUUCUAAUCCUCUCUCAGGAAAUUCAUCCCAGAUACCAUCCCUGAGUCUUGAGCAGAGACUGUGGAUGUAACAUCACGACCUAUGCACAUAAAAGAAUUGCAGCCUAAGACAGUGCCCCCACAAGUGACACAGUUAACAGAUGUACUAUGCUUAAAGAAAGUCAAUUGAAUACAUAAAGUACGAGUCAUUUUGUGUUCCUUAAGAUUUAGAUCCAUGUAGAGAAGAUUCAAGAACAAGGACUAGCUUUACUUAUUUUUUUUUUUUAAUUUGGCAUAUCACUUCUGUCAGUUCAGCAAAUAAUAUAUUCUGGCUUUACAUUGAAUAAUUGACCAUUUUAAAACACGGUUGGAGGAUUAUUAAAAGAUGUAAAAAAUUUAGAAUAAAAGAUUACUGAUCUCUUGGUCCUACACAGGAUAUCAGUACCAACCUCUUUAGGCUCAGAGAAUUUUGCUGAAGAAAAGGUCAGAAGAAAAAUAAGAGUCAGUGUCACACAGAUCUUACGGGAGGUGGUGUGACAUCACAAGUUCCACAAGUCAGAAGUUAUAGAGACUGAAAAAUAGUUUUCUGGGAAUGAAACAGCACAGUAGCUACAGGUUUUUUUGUACAAGUUUAAGUCUGACAGUACCCAAUCAUGGAUGGUAGAAGGGUAUGCCCAUACUCUUCCCUGGAGAACGAUUGACACCUGAUGAAUUCUGAAAUGGGAGGAGUUAUUAUCUUCAGACACACACUCAUUGCUUAGUCUAUAGCCUCCACUGGAUAGGUCUAAAAGAAAUGGACAUAACCCCUAAGUUAGUUAAUAGGGUCUAUGAUUUGUCCACUCUUGAGGUUUUGGCAUACUUAACUGUGCAGUAUAGGUUUCGUCUUAUGGAACAGGAGGACUUCAAUAUAAUGAAUAUUUGGUUAA